ensembl:lncRNA
GUCAAUGUGGAGGCUAUAUACAGGGUAUUACGGUACAGAGUCAAUGUGGAGGCUAUAUACAGGGGGUACUGGUACAGAGUCAAUGUGGAGGCUAUAUACAGGGGGUACCGGUACAGAGUCAAUGUGGAGGCUAUAUACAGGGGGUACCAGUACAGAGUCAAUGUGGAGACUAUAUACAGGGGGUACCGGCACAGAGUCAAUGUGGAGGCUAUAUACAGGGGGUACCAGUACAGAGUCAAUGUGGAGGCUAUAUACAGGGGUACCGGUACAGAGUCAAUGUGGAGGCUAUAUACAGGGGUACCGGUACAGAGUCAAUGUGGAGGCUAUAUACAGGGGGUACCGGUACAGAGUCAAUGUGGAGGAUAUAUACAGGGGGUACCGGUACAGAGUCAAUGUGGAGGCUAUAUACAGGGGGUACCGGUACAGAGUCAAUGUGGAGGAUAUAUACAGGGGGGUACCGGUACAGAGUCAAUGUGGAGGCUAUAUACAGGGGUACCGGUACAGAGUCAAUGUGGAGGCUAUAUACAGGGGGUACCGGUACAGAGUCAAUGUGGAGGCUAUAUACAGGGGGUACAGGUACAGAGUCAAUGUGGAGGCUAUAUACAGGGGGUACCGGUACAGAGUCAAUGUGGAGGCUAUAUACAGGGGUACCGGUACAGAGUCAAUGUGGAGG